rnacentral:rRNA from 1 species
GAUUCUGGCUCAGGAUGAACGCUAGCUACAGGCUUAACACAUGCAAGUCGAGGGGCAGCAUUGGGAUAGCUUGCUAUCCAGAUGGCGACCGGCGCACGGGUGAGUAACGCGUAUCCAACCUUCCCUAUAGUAGAGAAUAGCCCGGCGAAAGUCGGAUUAAUGCUCUAUGUUGUGUUUUUGAGGACAUCUGACGAACACCAAAGGUUCACCGCUAUAGGAUGGGGAUGCGUCUGAUUAGCUUGUUGGCGGGUAACGGCCCACCAAGGCGACGAUCAGUAGGGGUUCUGAGAGGAAGGUCCCCCACAUUGGUACUGAGACACGGACCAAACUCCUACGGGAGGCAGCAGUGAGGAAUAUUGGUCAAUGGGCGAGAGCCUGAACCAGCCAAGUAGCGUGCCAGGACGACUGCCCUAUGGGUUGUAAACUGCUUUUAUCAGGGAAUAAAGUGCGGCACGUGUGCCGUUUUGUAUGUACCUGAUGAAUAAGGACCGGCUAAUUCCGUGCCAGCCGCGGC